UUGUCUAUUUCUGAGCAGUGUACAUGUUUCAUCUCUGGCUAGGAACAAACCAAAAAGUUUUGAUGUGCCUAUCCUGAGUUUUUUGCUGUGCUUUGCAAGGAGGAACUGGGAAAAGCUUUUUUAGCCUCCACAACUUCUUGGGGGCAGGAAUUUUUUAUUUAUAAAAAUAAAUGUUUUUUAUUUGUCAGAUAAAAUAUUAGUAACCAAUAUUAAUUAGCAUGGCAGGACUAGGAGUCAAUGCUUGUCAGAUCUAGCAUUCCAAAUUAUUUUAUCAUCAUGCUACAGAAUUGGAGUUUGUAAAGGGUAUAGAUAUCAGGGAAAAAGAGCUCUAAUACAGACAUUCUGUCUACAUGUUUAUGCUUUGAGAGAACACUUAAAUUAUUGGUUUAGGAAACUGGCAAAUCUUUUGAGUCCAGCAGAGAGAGAGGUGACUUAGCUACAUUUGCAACCAGAACGGGAAGAAUCCGUGGAGAUUUUUCAUUAUCCCAUGAAUUAGUUUGGAGCUGCUUGUGACAGGUUUAUGUAUUAUUGUCUCAAGAGCCAAGAAAAAUGAACUGGUGAGAGAUAGACUGAGCCAGUGUUGCCCCAGCUCUUGGAGUCAAGUGGAUAUAUGAUGAAUUGAG